rnacentral:rRNA from 1 species
GAGACAGCAGUAGCCGCGGGAAUACAGAGGGUGCGAGCGUUAAUCGGAUUUACUGGGCGUAAAGCGUGCGUAGGCGGCUUUUUAAGUCGGAUGUGAAAUCCCUGAGCUUAACUUAGGAAUUGCAUUCGAUACUGGGAAGCUAGAGUAUGGGAGAGGAUGGUAGAAUUCCAGGUGUAGCGGUGAAAUGCGUAGAGAUCUGGAGGAAUACCGAUGGCGAAGGCAGCCAUCUGGCCUAAUACUGACGCUGAGGUACGAAAGCAUGGGGAGCAAACAGGAUUAGAUACCCGCGUAGUCCCUGUCUCUUAUAC